CCGUCUGCGACGCGGAGGG
rnacentral:rRNA from 1 species